rnacentral:lncRNA from 1 species
CACCAACCCAAUGCAGCCCAGGGCGGCGGCACGAGACAGAACAACGGCGAACAGGAGCAGGGAAAGCGCCUCCGAUAGGCCAGGCCUAGGGACCUGCGGGGAGAGGGCGAGGUCAACACCCGGCAUGGGCCUCUGAUUGGCUCCUGGGACUCGCCCCGCCUACGCCCAUAGGUGGGCCCGCACUCUUCCCUGCGCCCCGCCCCCGCCCCAACAGCCUACAGCUGUUGUUAGUCCACUCGCACGCCUCGAAUCCCGUCCGAACUCGUCAUUGGCUGCUUCCUAGCGGCCUGUGUUGAUUGGCUGCCCGAAGAUCCGCCCUCCUGCCGUGGGCCCAGCCCCGCAAAUGCGCAGCUAAGCGGGUGGCAAGGGGCGGGUGGAGCGCGGGGCGCGACGGCGGAGGGGGGCGUGGGCAGCCGGACGUACCCUGGCAGGGAGCAGCAGGUGGCGGCGGUGCAUGGGGCCUGGCCCCACCAGCGGGCACUGGCCCACAGCCACGGCCGGGGGGCCAUCUAGCUGGAGAGAGAAGGGACAGGUGACCCGAUCGGAGCCCAGCCCAGCCCUCAGCGGUGGGGCGAGAGACAGCGAGGGGAAUCGAGGUUGGGGAGGUUAUCUAGGGAGAUCCCGGAGGGAAUCUGGUGAGGCCUGAACGGAGGGAGAUCUGGGGCUGAAUAAAGGGCUUCUGCCCUCUAAAGUCGCAAAGACGUAGGGUGAGCCCUAUAUCUGGACGGGGAGACCAGGAGCCAGGGAGGGGAUCUGCAGAAUGGGCAGCAGGUCUGAGGCAGGGGAAAGAGAGGGGUCUUACAUGGGAAGGUGGAUCCGUGGCCCGGGGACUGGGGACCCCCGUGACAGCUGGAAGGAGAAGAAAGAGGCAUAGGGCGCGUGGAGGGGCGAAGGAGGGCGGUGGCGCGGCGUGCCCCAGCGUGGGUCCCUUCCCUCCUCCAGGUGUCUAUACACGCCCCGCGGAGCAGACGGCCCACCUCCUCCCGGUCCUCCGGGGAAGGGGACACAUGAGGGACUCACCUGUGGCUCCCUCUGCCUGCAGCAACUCCAUCCGCUCCUGCAACUGCCGGACGUGUGCCUCUAGGUCCCGGUUCCGAGCCUCUGCCUCGCGUAGUUGACUGUGGGGAGGAACAAAUCAGGAUUCCCACCUGCCCAAGGCCUUUGCCCUGGAGGCUCUCGCCUGACCACUUGGCACCUUUCCUUCCAUGGCUUGUUUCUCCUUCACCAGCGCUCAGCUCAAAGAUCGACUUCUCAGAUCCCCAGCAACACACACACCCUUACUUAAUGCCCCACUGUAACUACAGAGACCGUCCCAUGUCUGAAGUAACCUCGUCUCUCCGUGGUUUCUGUCUGCUUCUGUUCAGGAAGUCCCUAGAGGGCUCUACAGUGCACGCCACCCGGGAAGCCCUCACCUUUUCUCUCCCAAUUGUCCCUGACGGACCCCCUCCCCUCCACCAACUUACUGUUUCAUCCUGUGGGGACACCGAGGGCUCCAGGCUGGGCGCUUGCACGUGUGGCUCAAGCAGCUGCUCGGCCUCCAGUUCCAUGGGUGUGGGGCCUGGGACCUCACUGUCCCUGGGGAGAGGAGGAGGGAGUGGGGAGGGAGACAGAAUGCUGAUUCUCUGGUGGAGAACCAGAACUUCUGGCCUGUGGGUAGGGGCAGCUGCUUCCAAGACCUCCUGAUUUGAGGAAGGGGAGCAGCAGAGCGAAGAGAACAGAGUCCCAGGUAGGCCAAUAGCCCCUCCUCUGCUUAGGAAAAGCCCUGCCCCUCUCCUGGCCUUGGGCCCCUGGGAGCUGCUCUUUCUAAACCUUCUGCAGGGACUUGGGGUCCAGACCCCCAUGUUCUAGGGUCAGCUCAUCUCCUCCCUUGACAUGUGACCGCUGCAGACCCCUCUUCUCAGGGCCUCAGGACAGGGAGGCCGACCUGAUGGGGAGACUGCUUGGCUCUGGCCACCUCCACAGAUGUGGUCCUAAGACUGGGCAUGGGACCCCAAGAUGGCAACUUGAGGUCAGCACACCCCACUCAGCUGUGGGAAGGGGACAGCUCCUCCCUGGGGUAUGAAGUGGCUGUCCCCUCCAACCCAGCAGUCCCUCCUGUGGGAACACGGCUCAGGACCUAGCUAUCCUGGACAUGCGCCUGGGUUCUAAUAGAGGAUGGGUUCAAUCCUGACCCACCGUUCAGGCCCCGCAGCGGUUCAGAAUCAAGCUGGAGUUCAUUAAUGAUAAGGUAUAGUAUGUGUAAUGUUGUCCAGUAAUAAAAGCUGACUAGAAAACCAACUGUUCUCUUAGACAAAGUAGCAUGAGGAAGGGGAAAAAAACAAACCAAAAAAACACCUGUUCUCCACUAUUUAAACAUGUGUCAGUACACGUGUGAGCCAGGGACCACUGCCAUCUGGUGAGCUCACGAGAUAUCAACUUCCUUUUCCUUAUCUGUAUUUUCUAAUUUACUUGUGAUAAGCAAUGCAUUAUUUGUGUAAUUAAUACUUUUGUUGAGACCAGGUCUCACUUUGUUGCCUAGGCUGGAAUCUAUCAUGGCUCACUGAAGCCUCAAACUCCAGGCUCAAGUGAUUCUCCUACUUCAGACUCCUGAGUAGCUAGGACUGCAGGCACAGACCACCAUGCCUGGCACGAUUUUUUCAAUUUUUUGUAGAGACAGGGUCUCAUUAUGUUGCUCAGGCUGGUCUUGAACUCCUGGGCUGAAGCAAUCCGUCCACUUCAGCCUCCCAAAGUGCUGGGAUUCCAAGCGUGAGCCACCAUGCCCAGCCUGUAAAUUAGUACUUUUUUUUUUUUUUUUUUGAGAUGAAGUUUCACUCUUGUUGCCCAGGCUGGAAUGCAAUGGCACGAUCUCAGCUCACCACAACCUCCCCCUCCUGGGUUCUGAUUCUCCUGCCUCAGCCUCCUGAGUAGCUGGGAUUACAGGUAUAUGCCACCACGCCUGGCUAAUUUUGUUUUUUAGUAGAGAUGAGGUUUCUCCACGUUGGUCAGGCUGGUCUCGAACUCCUGACCUCAGGUGAUCCACCCACCUCAUCCUCCCAAAGCACUGGAAUUACAGGCGUGAGCCACCACACCCGGCCUAAAUAAAUACUUUUUUUUUUUUUUUUUUGAGACGGAGUCUUGCUCUGUCGCCCAGGCUGGAGUGCAGUGGCAUGAUCUCGGCUCACUGCAAGCUCCGCCUCCCGGGUUCAUGCCAUUCUCCUGCCUCGCCUCCCAAGUAGCUGGGACCGCAAGCGCCCGCCACCAUGCCCGGCUAAUUUUUUUGUAUUUUUAGUAGAGACGGGGUUUCACCGUGUUAGCCAGGAUGGUCUCGAUCUCCUGACCUCAUGAUCCACCUGCCUUGGCCUCCCAAAGUGCUAGGAUUACAGGCGUGAGCCACCGCGGCCCGCCUAAAUUAAUACUUUUAAAUGGCCUUAUUGUUAUAUGGCUGAUUCAAAGAAUUUGCAUUCUUUUACAACUGAUUGUAAAAGUCUAAACUUCAUAUUUUCCAAGUUCUGAAGUCCUGUGGCUCUGUGUACUACAGACGUAAAAGUUAAUGGUUACAAGAUUCUGGGAAGCCCAGUCUGUGACUCUGAGGUUUUAAAAUUCAAUCUAACAUUUUGAAGUACAUAGAUCUGAAAAUUUAAGGUCCUCCAACUCUGGCCUCUUAGGAGUCUUUGGGCCCAAAACAGUAAGGUUCCAAGACUGAUCCUGCAACUCCAUUGGCUGCCAAGGAGCAGGACCCAGGAAGCUCAAGCAGCCUCGUGGCCCCUGGAGGCCGUCCAGGGCAGUGCUUACCUGAGGGCCAUGCAGGAGUAGGAGUAGCCCACAAAAGGCAGGUGGACCCCUAGCGGCGCACCUUCCCGAAUGUCCGACAGUGUCUCCUGCGCAAGACACACAGAUGUGAGCAGCAGUCGUCAGGGCGGGCCCCUCACUGCUUUUUGAUCUUGGCUUACAUGUUCCCCCCAAACCAGCCCCAACUCAGGGCUUAUCUAAAGUGGCCCCUCCAGCAUUUUUUCUUUUUUCUUUUUCUUUGAUACGGAGUCUCGCUCUGUUACCCAGGCUGGAGUGCAGUGGUGCAAUCUCAGCUCACUGCAACCUCCGCCUCCCAGGUUCAGGCGAUUCUCCUGCCUCAGCGUCCUGAGUAGCUGAGAUUACAGGCGCCCUCUACCACGCCUGGCUAAUUUUUUAUAUUUUUGGUAGAGACGGGGUUUCGCCACGCUGGCCAGGCUGGUCUCCAUCUUCUGACCUCAAGUGAUCCGCCUACCUCAGCUGUUGUAGUCCCAAACUCUGGGCUCAAGCAGUCCUCCAACCUCAGCCUCCCAAAGUGCUGGGAUUACAAAUAUAAGCCACUGUGCCCAGCCCAGUUCUGUUUUUUUUUUUUAGAUGGAGUCUUGCUGUCUCCCAGCCUAGAGUGCAGUGGCACAACCCCAGCCCACUGCAAACUCUGCCUCCCAGGUUCAAUCAAGCGAUUCUCCUGCCUCAGCCUCCUGAGUAGCUGGCAUUACAGGCAUACGCCACCAAGCCUGGCUAAAUUUUGUAUUUUUAGUAGACACAGGGUUUCACCAUGUUGGCCAGGCUGGUCUUGAACUCCUGACUUCCAGUGAUCUGCCUGCCUCAGCCUCCCAAAGUUCUGGGAUUACAGGCGUGAACCACCUUGCCCAACCCUUUUUUUUUUUUUUUUUUUUGAGACAGAGUCUCACUCUGUCACCCAGACUGGAGUGUAGUGGCAUGAUCUUGGCUCACUGCAAACUCUGCCUCCCAGGUUCAAGCAAUUCUCCUGCCUCAGCUUCCCCAGUAACUGGAAUUACAGGCACCCGAGACCACACCCAGCUAAUUUUCUUGUAUUUUUAGUAGAGACGGGGUUUCACCGUGUUGGCCAGCCUAGUCUCAAAACUCCUGAUCUCAUGACCCACCGGCCUUGGACUCCCAAAGUGCUGGGAUUACAGGCAUGAGCCACAGCGCCCGGCCGCGGUCCAGCCUAUUUUUU